rnacentral:rRNA from 1 species
GACGAACGCUGGCGGCGUGCUUAACACAUGCAAGUCGAACGCUGAAGACCUGGCUUUUGUUGGGUUGGAUGAGUGGCGAACGGGUGAGUAACACGUGAGUAACCUGCCCUCUUCUUUGGGAUAACGCCCGGAAACGGGGGCUAAUACUGGAUAUUCACUGAUCUUCGCAUGGGGGUUGGUGGAAAGGAUUGUUCUGGUGGGGGAUGGGCUCGCGGCCUAUCAGCUUGUUGGUGGGGUGAUGGCCUACCAAGGCUUUGACGGGUAGCCGGCCUGAGAGGGUGCCCGGUCACGUUGGGACUGAGAUGCGGCCCAGACUUCUGCGGGGGGCAGCAGUGGGGUAUAUAGCACAAUGGGCGAACGCCUGAUGCCGCGGCGCCGCGUGAGGGAUGGAGGCCUUCGGGUUGUAAACCUCUUUCGCUCAUGGUCAAGCCGCAACUGUGGGUUGUGGUGAGGGUAGUGGGUAAAGAAGCGCCGGCUAACUACGUG